rnacentral:misc_RNA from 3 species
AACGCACAUUGCGCCCCUCGGUAUUCCGGGGGGCAUGCCUGUUCGAGCGUCAUUACACCCCUCAAGCGUAGCUUGGUAUUGGGUUCUCGCCCCCGCGGCGUGCCCGAAAAGCAGUGGCGGUCCGGUGUGACUUUAAGCGCAGUAAAUCUUCCCCGCUUUGAAAGUUCGCCCCGUGGCUUGCCAGACAACCCCAUUUAUUUCAAUGAUUGACCUCGGAUCAGGUAGGGAUACCCGCUGAACUUAA